GGGGGAGAGGCAGAGCUCUGAAGAAUGCAAGGCCUCAAGCCUGGUCUAUUGGGCAGCACGCCAUAGCCUAUGCCUUGGUCCUGUCAAGACCCAUCUAGAAGCUGCUGGCCUUGCUGGGCUCUUCUCCUUCCUAUUCACUGUCCCCUGUGUGAUCUGAUCCUCGCAGACCCACGUCCUCCUAACACAGCUACAGCUGGCCACCACAGGUCUAAGAACAAGAUGCGGAGACUGAAGUUCGGGUAGAGCGAUGGCUAAACCACUAAACUGCGGAUGAUGGGGAUCUAUUCCUGUGCUUUCUCAACCCAGUCACCCCCUCUGACCUCUGCUGGACAGACCCGAGGACAGGGAAGUCCCCUCUAGAGAAGAGGGCUCAGACCUACUGCAGCACAAGACCAAGGGACAGAGAGACCCUCUGCACAAGAAGCUGCCUGCCAACCAGACCCACAACCUCAGCCAACUCCUACCUAUGCAGCCCAACCUAGGCUGCUACUUCCAAUGGGACGCAGGUUUCUCCAAACAGCAAAGCAUGUGGGCUCCAUCUGGACAGGCCUGAGUCACAGGAGAACACCCUGCCCACCCCAGCUACCCUCAGCAAGGUCAG
rnacentral:lncRNA from 1 species